rnacentral:rRNA from 1 species
UGAGGAAUAUUGGGCAAUGGGCGAGAGCCUGACCCAGCAACGCCGCGUGGAGGAAGACGGCCUUCGGGUUGUAAACUCCUUUUGACGGGGAAGAGAGAGGACGGUACCCGUCGAAUAAGUCACGGCUAACUACGUGCCAGCAGCCGCGGUAAUACGUAGGUGACAAGCGUUAUCCGGAAUUACUGGGCGUAAAGCGCACGCAGGCGGCAGAUUAAGUCUGACGUGAAAUCUCCUGGCUUAACUGGGAGGGGUCGUUGGGAACUGGUCAGCUUGAGGUGGUGAGAGGGGUGUAGAAUUCCCGGUGUAGUGGUGGAAUGCGUAGAUAUCGGGAGGAAUACCGAGUGGCGAAAGCGACACCCGUGGCACUAGCCUGACGCUCAUGUGCGAAAGCGUGGGGAGCAA